rnacentral:lncRNA from 1 species
AUGCGUCUUAAAUGUGUAUGCCUUUUUUUUCUGUAAUGUAAAUUUUGUCUAAUGCUAUUAGAAAAAUAGAACUAGAAAGACAGUGCCUGAACAAGGUUAUAGUUUUUGCUGCUAUUGUGAAUUGUUCUCUCAAAAUUCAUAUCUCUACCUUUCUGGGAUUUCCAAUGUUAUACCGCGAUGCAUUUGGCGUUAGCUCUGAAUUGAGCAUGUUUAAGCUCUUUUAUUCUGUGUGUAUGUAUACAAAAAGAGUAGAGAAUAGAAUGGGAUUUGAAUUUGUCACAAUAAUGUUAUCCCC